rnacentral:misc_RNA from 1 species
AUUCCGUUUGUUUUUGGGGAAAAUAUGGAGUUACUUCUGAUAUCUCAUUAAAAAAUGAAUUAUAUUAACAAUUCCACAACGCGUAGAGGAUUUCUAUAUCCACAUGCCAAGUAGUGAAAAAAGGUAACACGACAAACAUUAUCAUAAUAUAAGCAUCCAUCAUCUUUAUACCACAUUUCAUCCUUGUGAUACAUACACUUCCAUAUUUUCCCCAAAAACAAACGGAAU